GGGCGGCUAGCUCAGUUGGGAGAGCGCGGCGUUCGCAACGCCGAGGUCGUGGGUUCGAUCCCCACGCCGUCCACCA
rnacentral:tRNA from 1 species